rnacentral:rRNA from 1 species
UACAGGGGGUGCAAGCGUUGUUCGGAAUUACUGGGCGUAAAGGGUGCGUAGGCGGCUUGGCAAGUCAGAUGUGAAAUCCCGGGGCUUAACUCCGGAAGUGCAUUUGAAACUGCCAGGCUAGAGUAUAUUAGAGGUUGGUGGAAUUCCCAGUGUAGAGGUGAAAUUCGUAGAUAUUGGGAGGAACACCGGUGGCGAAGGCGGCCAACUGGGAUAUAACUGACGCUGAGGCACGAAAGCGUGGGGAGCAAACAGG